UAGAUUUUACUAUAAUCAUUUUGAGUGCGGUAUUCAUAAUUGUUUGUGAUUUAGAUUAGGAGGUUGUUGUAGGGUUAAACCUCGAAUACCUGCACCUUGCAUAAUUGAGUGCCAGCACAUAUUGUGUUUUUGUAAUUUGAUUUAUAUGCUACUAUUUCUUACAACUAUAUACUUUAAGGCAGCAGUAAAUCGUACAAGGAUUCCCCAAAACCUUGUAGGAAUAGAGAUACAGAAGAUAUACAAAAAAUAGAUAACCGCGCCUUAAAACACAGUAAUGUACAAAAAUGAAGUCAAAUAUAAAUCAUAGGUACAUACUUUUUUGUUAAAAGUCUAUGAAGUCUUUGGCUGUUAUAUAGAUACAUAUUGCACCACUGGAUAUUUCAAUUGUUGUCUUCACAUAUUCGAGACACAGAUAAAGACUACCACCACUGAAGCUGAAAAUAUAUCCAGUGAGAGGGAUUGUACCGUCUAUGCCCUACACAGCAGAGCUCUUUGUAGCUCUAUAAAUUGUGAGUGAGUUUUUGCUAUAGCAUGCUACUUCACGGUGUUAAAGACAUACUGCACUAUUAUUGUCUCUUUUUCCUUGAGAUACCAUGCACUGUAUAUCAACUGAAGACUUCAUAGACUUUUAUCAAAAAAGUAUGUACAUAUGAUUUAUAUUUGACUUCAUUUUUGUACAUUACUGUGUUUUAAGGCGCGGUUAUCUGUUUUAUGUAUUUGUACACUGGAAGAAUGAGACAUAGAGGGACCAUUGAAGGUAUGAGAUACAUGCAGCCACUAGGGGUAUGAGACAUAUGAGGACAUUGGAGCUGAGACACGUGGGGACACUGAGGGUAUGAGACACAUGGC